AUGAUAAGCUCCUCAGGUGCCAGGGGAAUGUUAUCAGAGGAAAUCAUCUUCCUCCCUGUGACAAGACGGAUGGAUCCUCAGCAUACUCACAGAAAACUGGGGCCCCCAAGGAGCAGAAUUUCAUCAAAUACUCAGUGGGGAAGUGUGCGCAAAACAGCAAUGGGAACCAGUGGGAACACAAUUUUAUUAACUCCAAAAAGUUCUACCAAUUGGGUUCUUAGGAGUGGUCUCCAGAUUGAUAUGCCUGCAGACAAAGGACUUGUAGUGACAAAUCUGAUAAAAUAUGUGAGAAACACCGUCUUUCUUCACUUAAGAUUCCAAUGUUAAAUGUGGAAGACUGUUUCAGUCUAUAAAACAUAGUCAUUAUAUAAUCUACUGUGCCACAGCAAGGACACAAAUUUAAUACAAUUGGAUGUACAAAAAACUUAGAAAUGCAACCUCUUUUAUUUUGCCUAUGAGCAAAUAUUUUGUCUUUGCCACCUGCUGGGUGACAGGAAAGAAAUAUAAGUGCCCAAUCUGGUUGAAGUUGUGCUUGGCUUCUCCAGGAAAGACAACUUAGUCCCAGAUUUUUCAUCCUUAUAGUCCUUUGCUUUCAUUCAAAACGGCAUCCAAGGAUGAGGUAAAGGGGUACGGCUUGAGUUACCAGGAAGAAAUGUCCUCAGGUGGUUAGGUAUUGUGUACUUUGAUGCCUCUAAUCUCUGGAGCAACAUCUUGUGUUCAAAAGCUUACUGCCUGCCUUGCUAGUAUGUGUGGCUAACGCCUGUGGCUACUGUGAUUCCAGGUCUGUUCUUUGACUUAACUGCUCUGGGCACUGUUGGAGGGAAUGUAAGUUGGCAUAACCAAUAUGAAGAGCAGCAUGGAGAUUCUUCAAAGUUAAAAAGAGAACUACCAUAUGAUCAAUCUUUCUUCUGGGUAUAUAUCCAAAGUAAAUGAAAACAGGAUCUCAAAAAGACAUCUGCAGUCCCACUUAUUCACUAUAGCCAAGGUAUGCAAACAACCUAUGUCUCCAUCAAUGGAUGAAGGAAUANNNNNNNNNNNNNNNNNNNNNNNNNNNNNNNNNNNNNNNNNNNNNNNNNNNNNNNNNNNNNNNNNNNNNNNNNNNNNNNNNNNNNNNNNNNNNGGGCACAAUGCUAAGUGAAAUAAGUCAGCAGAGAAAGAAAAAUACUAUAUGAUGUCACUUCUAUGUGAAAUCUAAAAAAGUCAAACUCAUAGAAAUAGAGCGCAGGAAAUGGCAGCCAAGUGUUGGGGUGGGGUGAAAUGGGAGAAGCUAGUCAAAGGGUACAAACUUCUACUUAAAAGAUGAAUACACUCUAAUGAAGAGCAUGGCCAUUAUAAUCAAUAAUACUUUAUUAUACAUAGGAAAGUUGCUAAGAAAGCAGAUCUUAAAUGUUCUCACCACAGAAAAGAAGUGAUAAUUAUGUGAGGUGAUGGAAGUGUUAGUUAACACUAUGGUGGUCCUCAUUUUGCAAUAUUUAAGUUUAUCAAACCAACAGGUCAUACACUUUAAAUUUAAAUAAUGUCAUGUGUCCAUAAUAUCUCUAUAAAGUUGGAAAAAAAUAUAAAAGAACUCUUCCCAUCUUUCCAGUAGAAGUUUUCACACUGUGACCUAGAAAUAAAUAGAUCUACAUUCUGACUUGGGUUUCCUAAACCAGUUUCCGCUAAAGCAAAAAUUUCAGCCUGGGAACUGUCACAUGCAAGGAAAUAUAAAUAUUUUAACAAUAACUCAUUUGUCUCUUGGCUUCAUAAGUAUCUCUAGCCAGAAGGAUUUACUCAGGAAAAAAAAAUAAUGGCUACUCAAUUUUUCUGUUCCAAUUGAAUGAGUGAUUCAUUCACUGGAGGUCUAAGUGAUGAUCAUAAGUAGAAAUAUAGAACACAGUGUUGGAAGGAAGAAAUCUCUAUUUCAUGGGCCUUAGGAAACUGAGGCUAGGUUACGGGAAGUGACUUACUCA
rnacentral:lncRNA from 1 species